CCUACGGGAGGCAGCAGUGGGGAAUAUUGCGCAAUGGGCGAAAGCCUGACGCAGCGACGCCGCGUGAGGGAUGAAGGUCUUCGGAUCGUAAACCUCUGUCAGCAGGGAAGAACGGUCACUGUGCUAAUCAGCAGUGAAUUGACGGUACCUGCAAAGGAAGCACCGGCUAACUCCGUGCCAGCAGCCGCGGUAAUACGGAGGGUGCGAGCGUUAAUCGGAAUUACUGGGCGUAAAGCGCUCGUAGGCGGUAUGUCAAGUCAAGGGGGAAAUCCCCGCGCUCAACGUGGGAACUGCCGUUGCAACUGGCAAACUGGAGUGUGUGAGAGGAUAGUGGAAUUCCAGGUGUAGGAGUGAAAUCCGUAGAUAUCUGGAGGAACAUCAGUGGCGAAGGCGACUAUCUGGCACAUAACUGACGCUGAGGAGCGAAAGCGUGGGUAGCAAACAGGAUUAGAUACCCCUGUAGUC
rnacentral:rRNA from 1 species